rnacentral:rRNA from 1 species
UACGUAGGUGGCAAGCGUUGUCCGGAUUUAUUGGGUUUAAAGGGUGCGUAGGUGGUCUUUUAAGUCAGUGCUGAAAUAUCCCGGCUUAACCGGGAGGGUGGCAUUGAUACUGCAAGACUUGAGUAAAGUUGAGGUGGGCGGAAUUGACGGUGUAGCGGUGAAAUGCUUAGAUAUCGUCAAGAACACCUAUUGCGAAGGCAGCUCACUAAGCUUUAACUGACACUGAGGCACGAAGGCCAGGGGAGCAAACGGG